rnacentral:rRNA from 1 species
UCGAGAAUAGUCUACAAUGGACGAAAGUCUGAUAGUGCGACGCCGCGUGAACGAAGAAGCCCUUCGGGGUGUAAAGUUCUUUUAUAUGUGAGUAGUGCCCUUUAUAUGAAUAGUAUAAGGGGGGGGAUUUAAGCAUAAGAAUAAGCAACGGCUAACUCCGUGCCAGCAGCCGCGGUAACACGGGGGUUGCAAGCGUUGUCCGGAAUUACUAGGCGUAAAGUGUAGGUAGGCGGAUAGAUAAGUUUAAGGUUAAAGGCUACGGCUUACCCGUAGUAAGGCAUUAGAUACUGUUUAUCUGGAAUGCGGUUGAGGGAGACAGAAUUCCUGGUGUAGCGGUGGAAUGCGCAGAGAUCAGGAGGAAUACCGAAGGCGAAGGCAGUCUUCUAAGCCGAAAUUGACGCUAAACUGCGAAGGUGUGGGGAGUCAAACAGGAUUAGAUACCCUGGUAGUCCACACAGUAAACGAUAAUCACUAGGUGUUGGGUUCUUAAGAGGACUCGGUGCCGGAGCUAACGCGAUAAG